GGCUACCUGGCGCAAUGGUAGCGCGUUUGGCUUCGAUUGCUAAACGGCACCAAAAGGUUGCAGGUUCGAGUCCUGCGGUGGUCA
rnacentral:tRNA from 1 species